ACUAUUUUUUAUAGUAACAUGGCGGACGGCUGAGUAACGCGUAGGUACCUACCCUUAAGUCGGGUAUAACCCAUCGAAAGAUGGGAUAAUCCCCGAUAUGUCUCACGAUGAAAGAUUUAUCGCUUGAGGAGGGGCCUGCGUCCGAUUAGCUAGUUGGUAGGGUAAAGGCCUACCAAGGCAAUGAUCGGUAACUGGUUUGAGAGGAUGACCAGACAGACUGGGACUGCGACACGGCCCAG
rnacentral:rRNA from 1 species